rnacentral:misc_RNA from 1 species
GAGGAAAUACGGGCAAAAGCCGAUCAAGGGUUCAAAAUACCCAAGGGGUUAUUACAAGUGUAGCAGCUUACGUGGAUGUCCAGCAAGGAAACACGUGGAGCGCGCGAUGGACGAUCCAACGAUGCUGAUUGUGACUUAUGAAGAUGAACAUUGUCAUAAUCCAGUUGCUGCGAUGCAUGGGAACAGUUCUCAAAUGGUGAAUUUUGGGUUAAUGGAAAAGAAGUAGGGGGUGAAAUGAAGAUAGAGG